ACAAUNANUUGGAUAACNGNGGUAAUUNUAGAGCUAAAACAUGCAAACAGAGNUCCGACCGGAGACGGAAGGAGUGCUUUUAUUAGAUCAAAACCAAUCGGNGGCGGGNUNAACUUGUCAUGGUACAACUNGGUGANUNUGAAUAACUUUACGCUGAUNGCACGGUCUUCGCACCGGNGACGCAUCUUUCAAAUGUCUGCCUUAUCAACUGUCGAUGGUAGGUUCUGCGCCUACCAUGGUUGUAACGGGUAACGGGGAAUCAGGGUUCGAUUCCGGAGAGGGAGCCUGAGAAACGGCUACCACAUCCAAGGAAGGCAGCAGGCGCGCAAAUUACCCACUCCCGGCACGGGGAGGUAGUGACGAAAAAUAACGAUACGGGACUCAUCCGAGGCCCCGUAAUCGGAAUGAGUACACUCUAAACCCUUUAACGAGGAUCAAUUGGAGGGCAAGUCUGGUGCCAGCAGCCGCGGUAACUCCAGCUCCAAUAGCGUAUAUUAAAGUUGUUGCGGUUAAAAAGCUCGUAGUCGAAUUUGUGUCUCGUGCCGCUGGUUCAUCGUCCGCGGUGUUAACUGGCGANUCNCGANACNUCCUGCCGGUGGGCUUAGCUCGCAAGGGCGGCCCAACUCAAUCCUGCCGCGGUGCUCUUCAUUGAGUGUCCAGGUGGGCCGGCACGUUUACUUUGAACAAAUUAGAGUGCUUAAAGCAGGCUAAAACUUCGCCUGAAUACUGUGUGCAUGGAAUAAUGGAAUAGGACCUCGGUUCUAUUUUGUUGGUUUUCGGAACCCCGAGGUAAUGAUUAAUAGGAACGGAUGGGGGCAUUCGUAUUGCGACGUUAGAGGUGAAAUUCUUGGAUCGUCGCAAGACGGACAGAAGCGAAAGCAUUUGCCAAAAACGCUUUCAUUGAUCAAGAACGAAAGUUAGAGGUUCGGAAGCGAUCAGAUACCGCCNUAGUUCUAACCAUAAACGAUGCCAGCUAGCGAUCCGUCGACGUUCCUCCGAUGACUCGACGGGCAGCUUCCGGGAAACCAAAGCUUUUGGGUUCCGGGGGAAGUAUGGUUGCAAAGCUGAAACUUAAAGGAAUUGACGGAAGGGCACCACCAGGAGUGGAGCCUGCGGCUUAAUUUGACUCAACACGGGAAACCUCACCAGGCCCGGACACCGGAAGGAUUGACAGAUUGAGAGCUCUUUCUUGAUUCGGUGGGUGGUGGUGCAUGGCCGUUCUUAGUUGGUGGAGCGAUUUGUCUGGUUAAUUCCGAUAACGAACGAGACUCUAGCCUGCUAACUAGGCGUAUUUUGACAUCCUAAAGGCCCGCCGGCUUGGGGUUCGCUCCUUGUCGCGCGCGGUUUUUACUGUCGGCGUACAAACAAUUNUUNUUAGAGGGACAGGCGGCUUCUAGCCGCNCGAGAANNAGAAANAACAGGUCUGUGAUNCCCUUAGAUAUUUUGGGCCGCACGCGCGNUACACUGNAGGGAUCAGNGAAUCCUCCCUGGCCGAGUGACCCGGAUAACCCGCUGAACCUCANUCNUGAUAGGGAUUGGGACUUACAAUUGUUCCCCAUGAACGNGGAAUUCCCAGUAAGCGCGAAUAAUAAACUNNGGGUGAUNANGU
rnacentral:rRNA from 1 species